AUACGGAGGAUCCGAGCGUUAUCCGGAUUUAUUGGGUUUAAAGGGUGCGUAGGUGGUUUGAUAAGUCAGCGGUGAAAGUUUGCAGCUUAACUGUAAAAAUGCCGUUGAAACUGUCGGACUUGAGUGUAAAUGAGUUAGGCGGAAUGCGUGGUGUAGCGGUGAAAUGCAUAGAUAUCACGCAGAACUCCGAUUGCGAAGGCAGCUUACUAAGCUACAACUGACACUGAAGCACGAAAGCGUGGGGAUCAAACAGGAUUAGAUACCCUGGUAGUCCACGCAGUAAACGAUGAUUACUAGCUGUUUGCGAUACACAGUAAGCGGCACAGCGAAAGCGUUAAGUAAUCCACCUGGGGAGUACGCCGGCAACGGUGAAACUCAAAUGAAUUGACGGGG
rnacentral:rRNA from 1 species